GAUGAACGCUGGCGGCGUGCUUAACACAUGCAAGUCGAACGAAGCACUUUAUUUGAUUUCCUUCGGGACUGAUUAUUUUGUGACUGAGUGGCGGACGGGUGAGUAACUCGUGGGUAACCUGCCUUGUACAGGGGGAUAACAGUUGGAAACGGCUGCUAAUACCGCAUAAGCGCACAGCAUCGCAUGAUGCAGUGUGAAAAACUCCGGUGGUAUAAGAUGGACCCGCGUUGGAUUAGCUAGUUGGUGAGGUAACGGCCCACCAAGGCGACGAUCCAUAGCCGACCUGAGAGCGUGACCGGCCACAUUGGGAAUGAGCCACGGCCCAAACUCCUACGGGGGGCAGCAGUGGGGAGUAUUACACACUGGACGAAAGCCUGAUGCAGCGACGCCGCGUGAGCGAAGAAGUAUUUCGGUAUGUAAAGCUCUAUCAGCAGGGAAGAUAAUGACGGUACCUGACUAAGAAGCACCGGCUAAAUACGUG
rnacentral:rRNA from 1 species